AUUGAACGCUGGCGGCAGGCCUAACACAUGCAAGUCGAGCGGGGUUUUCGGACCUAGCGGCGGACGGGUGAGUAAUGCGUAGGAAGCUGCCCGAUAGAGGGGGAUACCAGUUGGAAACGACUGUUAAUACCGCAUAAUGUCUACGGACCAAAGUGUGGGACCUUCGGGCCACAUGCUAUCGGAUGCGCCUACGUGGGAUUAGCUAGUUGGUGAGGUAAUGGCUCACCAAGGCGACGAUCUCUAGCUGGUUUGAGAGGAUGAUCAGCCACACUGGAACUGAGACAGGGUCCAGACUCCUACGGGAGUGAGCAGUGGGGAAUAUUGGAAAAUGGGCGCAAGCCUGAUCCAGCCAUGCCGCGUGUGUGAAGAAGGCCUUCGGGUUGUAAAGCACUUUCAGCGAGGAGGAAGGGGUGUGUGUUAAUAGUACACACCUUUGACGUUACUCGCAGAAGAAGCACCGGCUAACUCUGUGCCAGCCGCCGCAGUAACAC
rnacentral:rRNA from 1 species